rnacentral:rRNA from 1 species
GUUGUCCGGAUUAUUGGGCGUAAAGGGCUUGUAGGCGGUUGGUCGCGUCUGCCGUGAAAUCCUCUGGCUUAACUGGGGGCGUGCGGUGGGUACGGGCUGACUUGAGUGCGGUAGGGGAGACUGGAACUCCUGGUGUAGCGGUGGAAUGCGCAGAUAUCAGGAAGAACACCGGUGGCGAAGGCGGGUCUCUGGGCCGUUACUGACGCUGAGGAGCGAAAGCGUGGGGAGCGAACAGGAUUAGAUACCCUGGUAGUCCACGCUGUAAACGUUGGGCACUAGGUGUGGGGGCCACCCGUGGUUUCUGCACCGUAGCUAACGCUUUAAGUGCCCCGCCUGGGGAGUACGGCCGCAAGGCUAAAACUCAAAGGAAUUGACGGGGGCCCGCACAAGCGGCGGAGCAUGCGGAUUAAUUCGAAGCAACGCGAAGAACCUUACCAGGUCUUGACAUCCCGAUGCUAUUUCUAGAGAUAGAAAGUUACUUCGGUACAUCGGUGACAGGUGGUGCAUGGUUGUCGUCAGCUCGUGUCGUGA